GAUGAACGCUGGCGGUAUGCUUAACACAUGCAAGUCGAACGGACUCUUCGGAGUUAGUGGCGGACGGGUGAGUAACGCGUGAGAAUCUGGCUUUGGGUUCGGGACAACCACUGGAAACGGUGGCUAAUACCGGAUGUGCCGAGAGGUAAAAGAGAAAUUGCCUGAAGAUGAGCUCGCGUCUGAUUAGCUAGUUGGUGAGGUAAAGGCUCACCAAGGCAGCGAUCAGUAGCUGGUCUGAGAGGAUGACCAGCCACACUGGGACUGAGACACGGCCCAGACUCCUACGGGAGGCAGCAGUGGGGAAUUUUCCGCAAUGGGCGAAGGGCUGACGGAGCAAUACCGCGUGAGGGAAGAAGGCUCUUGGGUUGUAAACCUCUUUUCUUAGGGAAGAACAAAAUGACGGUACCUAAGGAAUCAGCAUCGGCUAACUCCGUG
rnacentral:rRNA from 1 species